rnacentral:rRNA from 1 species
CGUCCUACGGGAGGUAGCAGUAGGGAAUUUUCGUCAAUGGGCGCAAGCCUGAACGAGCAAUGCCGCGUGAACGAGGAAGGUCUUCGGAUCGUAAAGUUCUGUUGAAGGGGAAAAAGAGCGGAGAGAGGAAAUGGUCUCCGAUUGAUAUUACCCUUCGAGGAAGUCACGGCUAACUACGUGCCAGCAGCCGCGGUAAUACGUAGGUGGCGAGCGUUAUCGGGAAUGAUUGGGCGUAAAGGGGGCGUAGGCGGCCUGCUAAGUCUGGAGUGAAAGGUACCGGCUCAAACAGUACAGG